GGCAGUUUGUUGCUCGCUGCCAGGUGAUUGGCUGAAGAGCUGUGAAAAGGUAGUGGGUGUGUGGGGUGAAGUCAGCGCUCUUCUGUGGAAAAAACCAGAGGCAAUUAAUUCACUCAGGUGCGAGUGGGUAUACUGUCGUGUGACCACGAAUUUUAAUAGAAGAAUUGAUCAAGCCCUAGAUCGACUGCGCGCAGGGAAACUGAUCAAUAUUAUCACAGGCCAUACAUAGCACUGAUUCCCAGCUGCGCUGAGACCCGAAUUGUUUGCAGUGUGUGCCACGAUUGCAGUGUCACUAAGCGGGGUGUGACGGGUUGUAGUGUUAUUUCGCACAGUUUGUGUGGUAAGUCUCAUGCGCAGCUGGGAUAUCGGCAGGAUGUGUUGUAAGUCCUGUCUGGAAACGACUGGGAAUUUGUAUGUUUAACUUAUGUAAUAAAUAAAUGAUCAAUUAUUUCUUUGCCCCGUUUACUCAUCCCUUGUCCUCGGUUACAUUUUGGCGUUGUCGACAGGUUUCAAGGGAGUGGCCAUUUUGUUUUGUUAUUUUGUAAGGACAGCAGGGACAGGUUUGUAAGAUUGGAGAGAAGGAGCAGCCAGGUCUCGAUCGCCAUCAUGGAGGGAAGCGAGCAACAAACAAUGGCCCAACGUAUACAGGAGUUGGAGAAUGAACUUAGAGACUUGAAAACAGCAUCUGUGGGUACAGAGAGGCCCUCUACAUCAACAGGAGCUACAGGAAGUGAAUCAGAGACUGUGAGACCCAAUCCUGUGGUAUACGUACAACAGGAUAGAAAGUUGCCAACAUUUUCAGGGAAGUUGGACAAUAUGGGCUCACUGACUCUAGAUGAGUGGAUUGAGCAAAUGAGAGACUUUGUGCGCACGAGAGGCAGAACAGAAAAAGAGCAAGCUCAAAUCAUUUUUAACCAUUUAGAGGGUACUGCACGCACUGAGAUAAAGUUUUUGCCAAAGGAACAGAAAGAAAAUGUUGAGAAAAUUUUUGAUACACUGAAAGAAAUGUACAGUUGCUUAGAUUCCCACAUUUCUUUGCAACGCAGAUUUUUCAAUCGUAAACAAUUAGAAGGCGAGUCCUUAAUUGACUUUUCUCAUUCCUUGAUGGCCUUAAUGGACCAGAUUAUUAAAACGGAUGAGGAAGCCGCAAGAAAAGCUUCAAAAGAUCUGCGUGAUCAAUUUUGUGAUGGUGUUAGAGAUCUGACAUUGAGGAUCAGGCUGAGAGAUUUGAUUAAUGCCAACCCACAGUGGACGAUUCGUGAGGCGAGAGCCGAAGCGACCAGGUGGAUGGCACAGUAUGAGAAUCAGCCUUUUAGGUCUAGAUAUAAUCAGUCUGUUUCAGUCUCUGCAGAUAUGCAAGCUUCUUGUGAAAGUGUCGAUUCUAGAACAUCAGAAUAUGCUGAGUUGGUGUCCCUUUUUAAAGCCCAA